GCUAGUACGAGAAAUGAACUCUGUGACGUAAAUCGUAAUAUCAAAAGAACCCGCGCAAACACUCUCUGUCCGAACUGACGCUAAGUGUCGAAAGCUAGGGAGCAAACGGAUUAAGAUACCCGGUAGUCCUAGCCGUAAACGAUGGCACUAAGUAGAGGGGUUUUGAUUAUUUCUCUGCCGGAACUAACGCAUUAAGUGCCCCGCCUGGGAAGUACGGCCGCAAGGCUAAAACUCAAAAGAAUUGACGGGGCUCGCACAAGCGGUGGAGCAUGUGGCUUAAUUCGAUGCAACGCGAAGAACCUUACCGGGGCUUGACAUGGUAAAAGUAGAAUCCUGAAAGGGUGACGAUCGGUAUCCAGUCCGAAGCUAUCACAGGUGUUGCAUGGCUGUCGUCAGCUCGUGUCGUGAGACGUUGGGUUAAGUCCCCUAACGAGCGAAACCCUUGUCUCUAGUUGCUAACGGGUAAUGCUGAGCACUUUAGAGAGACUGCCGUCGUUAAGACGGAGGAAGGUGGGGACGACGUCAAGUCAUCAUGGCCCUUAUGUCCCGGGCUGCACACGUGUUACAAUGGUCGGUACAAAGGGAUGCUAAGUCGCGAGAUGGUGCGAAACCUAUAAAGCCGAUCUCAGUUCAGAUUGGAGGCUGAAACUCGCCUCCAUGAAGUUGGAAUCGCUAGUAAUCGCGGAUCAGCUACGCCGCGGUGAAUAUGUUCCCGAGCCUUGUACACACCGCCCGUCAAGCCACCCAAGCAAGAUGCACCCAAAAAUCGCCUGCCUAACCCGUAAGGGAGGGAAGUGCCUAAGGUGUGUUUUGUGAGGAGGACUAGUCGUAACAGGUAGUCGUAGGAGACUGCGGCUGGAUCACCUCCUUUCUG
rnacentral:rRNA from 1 species